rnacentral:sRNA from 1 species
UUUUUGCUGCUGCAGUUGCUGCUGCUGCUCCUGCUGCAGUUGCUGCUGCUGCAGUUGCUGCUGCUGCAGUUGCUGCUGCUAGAGUUACCUAGGCAGCAGCAGGAGCUGCUGCUAGUCUAGCUGCUGCAGCAGCUGCUGCCGUUGUUGCUGCAGCAGCUGCUGCAGCAGCAGCAGCUACUUUAGGUGCUGCAGCUGCUGCUGCUGCUGCUGCUCCAGCUGCUGCAGCAGGAGCAGCCGUGGCAGCAGCAAAAGCAGCAGCAGGAGCAA